ensembl:lncRNA
UAUGAGUUUGUGUUCUAUGACAUUAUAAAGAGUUUACACGUAGUGAGCUGUUGUUCAAAGAAUCCUUCCUCAUUCGAUCUGUCCUCACUGAGGAGCCCAGCAGCUCAAUCUUUACUCAGAACCUUUAGAACCGUGUUCAUGUUCUGUUUCGGUUCUGAACACUUGCAUUAUGUGAACAACUGAAUCUCUUCCUUCAAUGGAUCUUACUUUCCGUCCUUCUGUGCUUUUAUAUUUUCCUACAACACGGGGCAGCACAAGUUUUCCUCACGGAGAAGCUAAGUCUCCAGUUUACUAUGGAUGAGGAAAAAGAAAGGAGGGGGUUUCUGUCUGGGGAACAUGGCCGCCGGAGCAAAGCUAAGAGCCCAGAGCAGCCGGAGAGAGCAGACUCCCCUGGACCCAGCUGUGUCUCCAUGAAGAGUGACUGGUCUAUGGAACACCCUCUUAAGUUUGAAGAUGGAAAUCAGUCAAUUGAGAAGAGAAGAGUCCAGCAGCAGAGAGCAGACUCCCCUGGACCCAGCUGUGUCUCCAUGAAGAGUGAU